UUUUAGGGAGACCAUCUGAUAUUCGACCGAACCUAAACAAGAGGUCAAUAUCAGUCAUCCCUGGUCGUUCGAGGAAUAGAUGUCAAAGCUUUCAAACUAUUAACUGGUUCAGAACAUGGGCUAUUAGCUCAGUUGGUUAGAGCGCACCCCUGAUAAGGGUGAGGUCCCUGGUUCAAAUCCAGGAUGGCCCACCUGGAAAAAAAGUGAUGAAUUGUAAGUAAUGAGUAAUGGAUAAUCAUUGAUUAAUUCAGAAUUAAUUCAGGACUCAUACAAUCAAACUCAGAACUUGCUUAGUGGGGGUAUAGCUCAGUUGGUAGAGCGCCUGCCUUGCACGCAGGAAGUCAGCGGUUCGAGUCCGCUUACCUCCACUCUCACUAACUAGAACAAACAAAAAAAACCAAAAGAAAUAGAAAUCAGCACCCAGACUAACUCGCUCAAAAUCCCAAGAAGUCGGAAUGCUGGAGUCUAGAACUCUAGUCAGAACCUUGAAAACUGCAUAGAAAUUAAGUCAUCAAAGCGUGUCUGCGAUCCGAUUGUUCGGAAGAUAAGACAAGCGACCACCAUGAAAAAAUCAAGUGGUCAAGUUACAAAGGGCUAACGGUG
rnacentral:tRNA from 1 species